rnacentral:rRNA from 1 species
CGCGCAGGCGGUCGAUCAAGUCGCGUGUGAAGGCCCCCGGCUCAACUGGGGAGGGUCACGCGAUACUGAUCGACUCGAAGGCAGGAGAGGGUAGUGGAAUUCCCGGUGUAGUGGUGAAAUGCGUAGAUAUCGGGAGGAACACCAGUGGCGAAGGCGACUACCUGGCCUGUUUCUUGACGCUGAGGCGCGAAAGCUAGGGGAGCAAACG